GAUGAAGAACGUAGCGAAAUGCGAUAAGUAAUGUGAAUUGCAGAAUUCAGUGAAUCAUCGAAUCUUUGAACGCACAUUGCGCCCAUUAGUAUUCUAGUGGGCAUGCCUGUUCGAGCGUCAUUAAGUCCACUUAAGCCCUGCUUAGUGUUGGGAGACUGCUCCAGCGGUGCUACCCUGUAGCUACCCUGCAGCUCCUCAAAGACAGCGGCGGAGUUGUGGUAUCCUCUGAGCUUAGUAACUUGUUCUAGCUUUCGAGUACACCACUUCCCAUGCCGUAAAACCCUUAAUUUUUAAUGGUUGACCUCGGAUCAGGUAGGAAUACCCGCUGAACUUAAGCAUAUCAAUAAGCGGAGGA
rnacentral:misc_RNA from 1 species